UGGGGAAUUUUGGACAAUGGGCGAAAGCCUGAUUCAGCAAUGCCGCGUGAGUGAAGAAGGCCUUCGGGUUGUAAAGCUCUUUUGUCAGGGAAGAAACGGUGAGAGCUAAUAUCUCUUGCUAAUGACGGUACCUGAAGAAUAAGCACCGGCUAACUACGUGCCAGCAGCCGCGGUAAUACGUAGGGUGCAAGCGUUAAUCGGAAUUACUGGGCGUAAAGCGUGCGCAGGCGGUUUUGUAAGUCUGAUGUGAAAUCCCCGGGCUCAACCUGGGAAUUGCAUUGGAGACUGCAAGGCUAGAAUCUGGCAGAGGGGGGUAGAAUUCCACGUGUAGCAGUGAAAUGCGUAGAUAUGUGGAGGAACACCGAUGGCGAAGGCAGCCCCCUGGGUCAAGAUUGACGCUCAUGCACGAAAGCGUGGGGAGCAAACAGGAUUAGAUACCCAAGUAGUCCCUGAGCGGGCUGGCAAGGCGCAU
rnacentral:rRNA from 1 species